GACGAACGCUGGCGGCGUGCCUAAUACAUGCAAGUAGAACGCUGAAGAGAGGAGCUUGCUCUUCUUGGAUGAGUUGCGAACGGGUGAGUAACGCGUAGGUAACCUGCCUUGUAGCGGGGGAUAACUAUUGGAAACGAUAGCUAAUACCGCAUAACAAUGGAUGACACAUGUCAUUUAUUUGAAAGGGGCAAUUGCUCCACUACAAGAUGGACCUGCGUUGUAUUAGCUAGUAGGUGAGGUAACGGCUCACCUAGGCGACGAUACAUAGCCGACCUGAGAGGGUGAUCGGCCACACUGGGACUGGGACACGGCCCAGACUCCUACGGGAGGCAGCAGUAGGGAAUCUUCGGCAAUGGGGGCAACCCUGACCGAGCAACGCCGCGUGAGUGAAGAAGGUUUUCGGAUCGUAAAGCUCUGUUGUAAGUCAAGAACGAGUGUGAGAGUGGAAAGUUCACACUGUGACGGUAGCUUACCAGAAAGGGACGGCUAACUACGUG
rnacentral:rRNA from 1 species